AUCUUCAUUGCUUCUUCAGGCUGGGGAGGCUGCUCUACGCCGGGUCUUUUUCUGCUUCCUCUGUUGUGUCUUUUGGGGCAGCACGGCCAUCGUCUCGGUCAGAGGAAGGGCGCGUUCUCGAUCUGGUCGAACCUGGUGUGCACGGCAAGGCAGCUCUGUAUGGAGGGAGAGGCAAUUUGGGGACGACUUCUUGAUGAGUAGAAUUUACUAAGCAAUUAGAUCAAAUACAUAUAUAUUUAAUGCAAUGCUCUGUUCGGUAUCUGAAUGCUCAAGUUGGAAAGUUGUGUCAGCUUGACAAUUGUCAAAUCCCUGCUGGAAAAGUACCACAUUGAUUUGAAGCUAAUUGGCCACCUUGCUGUUGGUAGCGAGACAGUGAUAGACAAAAGUAAAUCCAUCAAAACGUGGCUGAUGCAAUUUUUUGAGGAAAGUGGUAAUACUGACAUUGAGGAAGUAUGACUCCACUAAUGCAUGUUAUGGUGGAACAACCUCCCUCUUGAAUUGGUGUAACUUCGGUCGAAAGUCGAUGUUGG